rnacentral:tRNA from 1 species
GGGGCUGUAGCUCAGUGGCAGAGCAUUUGCCUAGUACAUGCAGAGGCUUUGGGUUUGAAUCCCAGCACCA